UUAAUUCAAAUUUGUAUGGAGUUGGUACGUUUGCGUACGUUGGCCGCGAGAGACGCUGUUCCGACUGCAUACAAAUUUGAGUUA
rfam:Bombyx mori DNA, contig: Bm_scaf48_contig25668, strain: p50T/Dazao, build 2, whole genome shotgun sequence.